rnacentral:rRNA from 1 species
AAGGUGGGGAUGACGUCAAGUCAUCAUGGCCCUUACGGCCUGGGCUACACACGUGCUACAAUGGUCGGUACAAAGGGUUGCCAAGCCGCGAGGUGGAGCUAAUCCCAUAAACCGAUCGUAGUCCGGAUCGCAGUCUGCAACUCGACUGCGUGAAGUCGGAAUCGCUAGUAAUCGUGAAUCAGAAUGUCACGGUGAAUACGUUCCCGGGCCGUU